CUAUAGAGACGACCAGUUGUUGCAAAAAGUUAAGCCAUUAGUUGGCGGGUCUACAAAUUAGGUGGGAAUUUUCGCGGGACGUCGUUUUGUCAAAGGGUGUUGAGAUGACAGAUCGUCCCAUAGGCUUCUACUCCCUAAAUCGAGAAUACAUCAUCUCCCUCUCGCUUAUUCAAUCGCAACUGUUAUCACAUUUUCCUCUCUCUCGAUCGGCGAUUGGUUUAUGUCGAACACCUUCACCUCCGGCCUCCUCAGUAGCAACAACUAUCAUUGCUAGCGUUGGUACCGGCGAUCUCCUUCGGUAAUUCGUGAUCGUAGUCUUCCCUUCAAUCUUCUCUCUUCUUUGAUCGAAGAUUUGUUGCUUUCCGGAUACGAAAUCGACGGCCAUUUUACCAGCCCGACAACACAGCACAACCACCUUCCCUAUCGACGAUGCUUCAAUUCCCCUGUGACAACGAUUACUUCUUCACUCUCCAACAACAUCCAAUUUCGAAAAUCAUAAAGAUUAUGGCAUCAGGUACAGAUGAAGCUCUCGGUCAUGUUGGUUCAGUUCUUUCAGCAUUGAGUGAGAAUUAAUGACAUCAAAUUGAGCUCUGUUGUCAACACACUGCCAAAUACUGUGAAACAGUUAUCUGAAUCUAGUGCAAAGGAAACAGAACCUCUCACAGAGGAGGAUGCUAUUGUAGAUAUAAUGGGAAGACAUGAUCAAUUUGUAUCUUCAAUGCAGUCUCGUCUAGCCAAACUACAAGUUUCUCUUUAUUCUCGUUGUUUAUUUCAUAAGAUCCAAUUUAUAUAUAUGCUAUUGGAACAGUUUAUAUAUCGUCCCAUACUUUUUCUCUUGUUAUCUGCAGAUGAUUCAUAGAUGUUGUGAUAGGAAUGAUAUUAAAGCAGCAAUUAGAGCAAUGGAGAGAAUGACUGAUCAUUCUUGACUGCAGAUAUUGUGAGUCUUUUGAAAGAAAAAAUGGACACCAUCACAUUGGAUAUUUGUUCUUGUCUACUACCUCUCCUCACAAACCUCCUUGAAAGCGACAUGGAUAAGUACACAUUGGAUAUGAUGUAAAAGUGUAGCAUUUAAGUUAAUCUUUGGCAGUAUAUAUCCCAAAGACCACAAAACAGGUCGAAGAGCUCAAGUUGCAAUGUGAUCAUAAUCUGAGAAGCAUUGAGGUGAUUGAGAGGAUGCAUACACAAAUACACACACACUGAUUUCGUUUGUUCCUGUAAUUGUAUAGGUUUCUGUUGAUAAACUUGCAAUGAAGUCAGCAGAAGAGAGAGUACCUUAAGAAUUUUUAGUAGUGAUAAAUGCAAGAAAUCAUUUGUUAAACAAUCUAAGUGCUAAUUAUUAUUGUUCCUAAAACUUCAGCUCCUUCUGAGAGUCUGGAUAUCAACUUCAAGAAAUCAUUUGCAAAGGAAUGAUGGUACUAUGGAAGGAGUGAUUGAGGAUGAAAAGACUAAUAAGUAAUAUUAACAAAGUUUCUUUUUUUUGUAGGGUGGAAUUACUUCAUCAGAUAGUUGGGCAAGCAUUCGUUGGUGUUCCUUUGUGGCAGUUGGGCCUUGAAAGCAGGCAUCCGGGUGUUCCCUACAUUGUUUUUCCAGGAUGCAGAAAAGGGGUAUAAUAUUGAAGGGGUUGAAGCAGUUCAUUUGAAUUAUUCAUCCUAGUGCUCUAAAGAAAGGAGGAAACCCUUUGGUGGCAAGCUGCAUCUUUGCUGCUGAAAGUAUAUUUAACAAAAAAGCUCUACUAUUUGUUUAGAGGGACAAAAAUGAAAGUUGAAAUUUGUAUUGAGCUUCAGCUUAUCACCGUUCAUUUUGAUCAUGGUAAUUCCAAACAAGAACAUGUAAUGUUUGGGAGUCUUCCUUCAAUUUGCAGUGCUUUAAAACAUGUAAUAAAAUCCUUUAGCAUUAUUUGUUGCAAUUGAAUUUAUUGUUUUAGCUA